CAGCACCUCAAGUGGUCAGGAUGAUUAUUGGGCCUAAAGCAUCCGUAGCCGGCUCUGUAAGUUUUCGGUUAAAUCUGUAUGCUCAACAUACAGGCUGCCGGGAAUACUGCAGAGCUAGGGAGUGGGAGAGGUAGACGGUACUCGGUAGGAAGGGGUAAAAUCCUUUGAUCUAUUGAUGACCACCUGUGGCGAAGGCGGUCUACCAGAACACGUCCGACGGUGAGGGAUGAAAGCUUGGGGAGCAAACCGGAUUAGAUACCCGAGUAGUCC
rnacentral:rRNA from 1 species